GACGAACGCUGGCGGCGUGCCUAACACAUGCAAGUCGAACGGAAAGGCCCUGCUUUUGCGGGGUGCUCGAGUGGCGAACGGGGGAGUAACACGUGAGUAACCUGUCCCUGACUGUGGGAUAACUUCAGGAAACUGGGGCUAAUACCGGAUAGGAGCUCCUGCUGCACGGUGUGGGUUGGAAAGAUUCGGCGGUUGGGGAUGGAUUCGCGGCUUAUCAGCUUGUUGGUGGGGUAGUGGCGUACCAAGGCUUUGACGGGUAGCCGGCCUGGGAGGGUGACCGGCGACAUUGGGCCUGAGGUAGGGCCCAGACUCCUACGGGCGGCAGCAGUGGGGAAUAUUGCACAAUAGGCGGGAGCCUGAUGCGGCAGCGCCGCGUGCGGGAUGACGGCUUUCGGGUUGUAAACCGCUUUCGCCUGUGCCGAAGCGUUAGUGACGGUAAUGGGUCAAAAAGCACCGGCUAACUACGUG
rnacentral:rRNA from 1 species